UAUACGUGGCAAUAUGUAGGCAACCAGUUAUACACCUUACAUAUGGUAACUGUCAAUCGUAUUCAAAGUUUUUUGUGUUUAAACGAAUAAAUCACUAAAAAAACACUUGUAGAGAGUUCCAAAAGAUGAAAUACUAUGAAAACACCGAUUCUCUGCGAUAAACGUGCAAAUUCCCAAACUGGAACGAUUAGUAGGUGAUUUAAUAAUGUAUAUUCUUUAUAAAGCAUGUAAUCUUUUCUAAAUUACACAUCAUUUAUAUAAGUGA